CUAUAAAAAAGUUAAAACUUUCAACAACGGAUCUCUUGGCUCUAGCAUCGAUGAAGAACGCAGCGAAAUGCGAUAAGUAAUGUGAAUUGCAGAAUUCAGUGAAUCAUCGAAUCUUUGAACGCACAUUGCGCCUGGCAGUAUUCUGCCAGGCAUGCCUGUCCGAGCGUCAUUUCACCACUCAAGACUCUUUUGUUCUUGGCGUUGGAGGUCCUGUUCUCCCCUGAACAGGCCGCCGAAAUGUAUCGGCUGUUAUACUUGCCAACUCCCCUGUGUAGUAUAAAAUUUCUAAUUUUUCACACUUUGAAGUUCUUGUGUAACACGCCGCUAAACCCGCUCAACUUUUGUUGAACUUUUCACAAGGUUGACCUCGGAUCAGGUAGGAAUACCCGC
rnacentral:misc_RNA from 1 species